ensembl:lncRNA
CCUCGGCCGCGCCCCGCUGCCGCCCAAAUCCGAGUCUGCGGAGCCCGGGAGGGCCCCCGGCUUCCUUCUCCAACCUCGCCGAGGCGGAGGCGGGGAGGUCGGCGGGGUAGGGGGGCGAGGACCCCGCGCAGGCUCGGCGAGCGGCCGGCGGCGAGGCCGGAGCCCUGGGGCUCGCGCCUACCCGCCCCGCCGCCCGGGACGCAGUGCCGGGAUUGCACCUGUAGGCGGCCUCGGAGCCGCUCUGGGUGGCCCGAGCCCAGCCUGGGAGACACUGUCUCCCCGCCGUCGCCCAGCAGCACAACUGGGCUUCUCUGGGGUAUCAGUGGAAACAGCGAUACUCGAGGUCACAACCAAGGUCAAAGGAAACCUGCCCAACGCCUCUACCAGCCCCUUUCUGGGGGGACCUGCUGCUGUGUUGGAGGGGAUCUCUUUAGGGAAAAGAUCGAUUUCCCCGGAAAGGUGCACCAAGUUUUGACCCCUGUGUGGGGAAGGAGUCAAGCCGUUCACUGAAGAGUUUAGACCCAGCCACCCGACUUAACUCGAGAGGACUGCCUGAGAUGCCAGAUGCCUUCAGGUGGGAAUAUGAUGUUCACGUAAGCUGAGGUCAGCUCCAGGCCACAGGCAGAUGCUUUACCCUCUGAGCCACCAGAGAAGCCCAAUAAGUAAGAGAAACAGGUCCAAAUACAGACAAAGGACAGGUGAAAUAUCUUUCAGUAUCUUCCUUUUUCUUUGAGAAUGAAGUUUGUGCAAGUUCACGAGCCCCCUUCCAUGGAAAAGUAGUUGUGAUAUGUUUAUGUCCCUUUUCAGCAGGAGCAAAGAACACAUCCGUGUCCUCCAAGCUCUCUACCAUAUGACCGUCUCAGAAUAUGUAAGCCUUUGUAAACUCUGUGUAACCAGCUCCCCAGAGAAGCAUAUCGUCUGAUUACAUAGCCACCUCCGUGGAUUAUUCUUAUUCUUUCACAUCACAAGGAGUCCUGGAUCAGAAAAAAAAAAAAACCACCUAUGGGCAAUAAAUUAAACAUUAUCAGGAUAAAGUUAUACCUCCCACCACCAUCAUAACCAGGUCGAAAUUUAUACACCCAAGCACAAACUGAGUAGAUCUAACCAUUUUUAACCCCCAAAGCUUCAUCUUACAUACACAAGAGAUCUGAAUUCAUUUUCUUGAAAACUAGAACGAUGAAUUUCUUGAAUUGUCAACAGUAAUUUUGUAUGAGCUUUGCUUUAAACAUUGUUUUGGUUUUGCCUUGAGCUCAGGUAUUUAUAAUUUUUCCUGUCUUGCCCCAACCCUGUUUCACAUUCAUUAUCUGGAAAUCUAUCAGGCCAAAUAGUUACAUGUCCAUAUCCUCCUUAAUAAGCCAAUCACAGAAAGUCGGAAAAACCCCAAGAUAGAGAAUUUGGGAACCCUGGGACUAAUUUCCUCAUUUCACUCCUUGAAUUAAAACCAAAAGUUUUUAAAAUGACCUUUCAUAAAUUUAUAUCUGCCUGCAUGCAAUGCAGGAGAGCCAGGUUUGAUCCCUGGGUCAGGAAGAUCCCCUGGAGAAGGAAAUGGCAGCUCACUCCAGUGUUCUUACCUGGAGAAUCCCAUGGACUGAGAAGCCUGGCAGGCUACAGGCCAGGUCGCAAAGAGUCGGACACGACUUAGUGACUAAACCA